rnacentral:rRNA from 1 species
UGCCUACGGGGGGCAGCAGUGAGGAAUAUUGGUCAAUGGCCGGAAGGCUGAACCAGCCAAGUCGCGUGAGGGAAUAAGGCCCUAUGGGUCGUAAACCUCUUUUGUCAGGGAGCAAAGGCGUCCACGUGUGGACGAGAGGAGAGUACCUGAAGAAAAAGCAUCGGCUAACUCCGUGCCAGCAGCCGCGGUAAUACGUAGGGGGCAAGCGUUAUCCGGAUUUACUGGGUGUAAAGGGAGCGUAGACGGCGCGGCAAGUCUGAAGUGAAAGGCAGGGGCUUAACCCCUGAACUGCUUUGGAAACUGCC